GAUGAACGCUGGCGGCGUGCUUAACACAUGCAAGUCGAACGAUGAAGCCCAGCUUGCUGGGUGGAUUAGUGGCGAACGGGUGAGUAACACGUGAGUAACCUGCCCUUAACUCUGGGAUAAGCCUGGGAAACUGGGUCUAAUACCGCAGAGGAGCGUCCACCGCAUGGUGGGUGUUGGAAAGAUUUAUCGGUUUUGGAUGGACUCGCGGCCUAUCAGCUUGUUGGUGUGGUAAUGGCUCACCAAGGCGACGACGGGUAGCCGGCCUGAGAGGGUGACCGGCCACAAUGGGACUGAGACACGGCCCAGACUCCUACGGGAGGCAGCAGUGGGGAAUAUUGCACAAUGGGCGGAAGCCUGAUGCAGCAACGCCGCGUGAGGGAUGACGGCCUUCGGGUUGUAAACCUCUUUCAGUAGGGAAGAAGCGUGAGUGACGGUACCGGCAGAAGAAGCACCGGCUAACUACGUG
rnacentral:rRNA from 1 species